ACAACCCAAGUUUUGGUCCCUCCUGACAAAAGGACCUGGUUUCGGACUUGAUCCCCCUUGUUGCCCAACUUGAUCGAGAAGAGAUUGUAAAAGAUGAGUCUUUUGAAUCUUUGAUUGUUGUUAUUUGGUCUAUAAUGAACACCCUUUUGGCUCACCAUGAUCGAGAAGGGGGAGUUGAAAGUUUACAACUGCUGCAAAAAUGACAAGUGCAGGUGUGUAGCACACCUUCCCUUAACACAGACGCUCCAAACCCUUCGGUUUCAAGGAAUGGAGGGAUCCUCAUUAUCAACUUCAGCCAUCUGAGAAAUCAAAUUGAGGGAAUCACAUAUAGGCAAUUGGGGGUCCGAUGCAACCGAGAGUUAGGUUUCUUAGAAGAGGGAGCAGAAGAAGAAAAUAGAACAAAGGGGAAAUUCUUUUUAUUAUGCAGGCUUUUACAAGAAACUUAAAGAGGACCCAGUUCCAUUUUAUUCCUUCAACAACAAACCAAAAAGGAAACAAAACGAACAAGACAAGGACAAGGACAAGGACAAGGAAACAAACCAACAAACAACUCAACUUCUGUUGAUGUACUGCAAUCGAGUACAAGCCAGAAGAACAACAUAGAAACAGAUAAUAACAACAAGGAAACUCAAGGUACGAUAUGAUAGGAUCAGCCUGGGAAUGAGUCCUCUAUUUUGGCAUGCGCUUCAUUUCUGGUUGUCAAUCUCCAUUAGGAAUGGGAUGAACAAUUCUGGUGUAAAUGGCUUUUCAAGGAACUCGUCAAUUCCAGCUGCAAGAAAUUCUUGUGCAUCUUUUUCACAAUACAUUGGAGCAAUACCCAAAAUCUUGCAGCUGAUGCCCAUCUCCCGAAUCGUCCUAGCAGUCUGACAUAUAAUAUGGAAGAGCACGUUAUCCUUUGGCUAAAGUACCAGAACUAGAAAGUUAAUUGAGUAUGAAGUAGCAUGAUCUCAAAGUUGAAGGAUGCACUUCUUAGCAAGUUAUGAUGAAAAACCAGAGAAUUGAAGUUUGGUCCUUGUGUUUAUGAAAUGAAAUGGAAGAAUAGUAUAUACCUCAGGUCCACUCAUGAAAGGCAGAAACAUCUCAAGGACAAUGAGAUCAAAAGUUUCUCCAGAAGCAAUGAGCUCAACUGCAGCCUCCCCAGUCCCCACAGCUUCUACUUCCACGCCGUAGGCGUCCAGGAGUCCACUCUCCAUUAUCCGGCAUGUUCUUGCAUUAUCCACCACAAGUGCUCUCAGAUUGUUCCUCCAGGUCAUAAAUGGAUGCUUCCUCCUUCUGCCAUUUCCUUCAGAUAAGCCUCCAUCCCCAUUGCCUCUCAUGCCAUCACUAUCAUAAUCAGUAUCAGAUGCCAUUCCUUCUUAAGAUCUAAUUAAUACUUCUGCACAACAAAGUGGGGCAAAAAAGGUGAGCUAGAUGCAAGGGACACCAAUCUAUAGCUUAUAUAAUUAAGUAAAAUCUAUCCAAGAAAAUAAAAGAACACUCCCAAAUUGAUAUCAUCACAAUCUGUUCCCACACCUUCCUUUCUCCCUCAACAAACUGAAGAGCCUUAUUUUAUAGAAAAAUACGUGCAUAUAAUUGAUAUCCAAGUGAAUCAAAGCUACAAAACUUGCAGCUAGUUUGGAAAUGGGACCAAAGCACUAAACUUCAUGGAUGCUACUGAAGCUAUCCUACAGAAAGGAGUCAGGACCAACAUGUUAUGACUAAAAAUACAAGAACUCUCUGAAAUAAUGGUAUUGAAAACAACAGUUUGCCUGCAUUUCUAUGCGCUACAUGAGGAUACAACACUAUUAGAUCAUAAUCAAAAGUAGAAAACUCAAAAGAAGAAACCAGGAACUAUAGUACUAUUCUAGGGCUUUAGAAGGACAAUGCUAGGAACUACAGGCACUUACCACCAAACUGUUCAAAGCUUGAUGUUGAUGACAAUACUAUUGCCUGAAAAUCAGCUUAUAUAGAUGACUCGGCUAACAUUUUUCUCUGUCUUACCAUAUCCGCUGGGCAAAAAACGUGCAAAGGGUGAGAGGAAGAUCAGAAACCCGAGAUUUGCGGUAACAUAGCUAUUGAAAAGGAUACAAUGUAAUCCAAUAGCCAGAUUUCUUCUUUUCAAGUCCUUUGCAGACACUAUUUUCUGGCGACGAUUUGGAGCUAUGGAUGCAAUUUAAACGACAUUAUUUGGUUGGUAAAGAUGGCUGAAAAGAACACAAGGCGGAUACAAUAUGGUAUACAGUACAAUAGGCUGAAGCCCCGUCAAAUGAACUCAAGUUGACAAAGCUGAGGGUCUUAAGAUUGUGUGAGCCGCACAUCUUUGAGUCAUGAAUGAAUGAAUGAAAUGGAGAAAAAUGGACCACACUCCAACUACAAAUCCCGCUAGAGAAUUUGAAAUGGAAUUUGGGUCGAGAGGUGAAAUUUUCCAGCAUAAGACAGACUAACCAAUGAUCUUGUUAACUUCUUUCAAGGGAUUCCAACAACCACCCAGUGUUUUUACCGAUGCACGUCAGAUUUCAGUUA